rnacentral:rRNA from 1 species
UAUCCUACGGGGCGCAGCAGUGGGGAAUAUUGCACAAUGGGGGAAACCCUGAUGCAGCAAUGCCGCGUGGGUGAAGAAGCACUCCGGUGCGUAAAGCCCUGUCAGCAGGGAAGAAAAUGACAGUACCUGACCAAGAAGCCCCGGCUAACUACGUGCCAGCAGCCGCGGUAAUACGUAGGGGGCAAGCGUUAUUCGGAUUUACUGGGUGUAAAGGGAGCGUAGACGGCAGCGCAAGUCUGGAGUGAAAUGCCGGGGCCCAACCCCGGAACUGCUCUGGAAACUGUGAAGCUGGAGUGCAGGAGAGG